GUAGGUGAACCUGCGGAAGGAUCAUUACAGAGUUCAUGCCCUCACGGGUAGAUCUCCCACCCUUGAAUACUUAUACCUUUGUUGCUUUGGCGGGCCGCUUCGGCUACCGGCUUCGGCUGGUGAGUGCCCGCCAGAGGACCCAAAACUCUGAAUUAUAGUGUCGUCUGAGUACUAUAUAAUAGUUAAAACUUUCAACAACGGAUCUCUUGGUUCUGGCAUCGAUGAAGAACGCAGCAUCUGACUGACUAAG
rnacentral:misc_RNA from 1 species